AACGAACGCUGGCGGCAUGCCUAACACAUGCAAGUCGAACGAAGCCUUCGGGCUUAGUGGCGCACGGGUGCGUAACGCGUGGGAACCUACCAUCAGGUUCGGAAUAACAGUUAGAAAUGACUGGUAAUACCGGAUAAUGUCUUCGGACCAAAGAUUUAUCGCCUUUUGAUGGGCCCGCGUAAGAUUAGGUAGUUGGUGGGGUAAAGGCCUACCAAGCCGACGAUCUUUAGCUGGUCUGAGAGGAUGAUCAGCCACACUGGGACUGAGACACGGCCCAAACUCCUACGGGAGGCAGCAGUGGGGAAUAUUGGACAAUGGGCGAAAGCCUGAUCCAGCAAUGCCGCGUGAGUGAUGAAGGCCUUAGGGUUGUAAAGCUCUUUUACUGGGGAUGAUAAUGACAGUACCCAGAGAAUAAGCUCCGGCUAACUCCGUGCCAGCAGCCGCGUAAGUGACUACUG
rnacentral:rRNA from 1 species